GACGAACGCUGGCGGCGUGCCUAAUACAUGCAAGUCGAGCGGAUCUUCAUUAGCUUGCUUUUGAAGAUCAGCGGCGGACGGGUGAGUAACACGUGGGCAACCUGCCUGUAAGCUUGGGAUAACUCCGGGAAACCGGUGCUAAUACCGAAUACAACUUGGGACCGCAUGGACCUUUGUGAAAAGACCUUGGGUCCCUUACAGAUGGGCCCGCGGCGCAUUAGCUUGUUGGUGGGGUAACGGCCUACCAAGGCGACGAUGCGUAGCCGCCCUGAGAGGGUGAUCGGCCACACUGGGACUGAGACACGGCCCAGACUCCUACGGGAGGCAACAGUAGGGAAUCUUCCGCAAUGGACGAAAGUCUGACGGAGCAACGCCGCGUGAGCGAUGAAGGUUUUCGGAUCGUAAAGCUCUGUUGUCAGGGAAGAACCGCCGGGAUAACCUCCCGGUCUGACGGUACCUGACGAGAAAGCCCCGGCUAACUACGUGCCAGCAGCCGCCGUAACAC
rnacentral:rRNA from 1 species